rnacentral:rRNA from 1 species
UACGGAGGGUGCAAGCGUUGUCCGGAAUCACUGGGCGUAAAGGGCGCGUAGGUGGCGCGACAAGUCAGUGGUGAAAGUUCGACGCUCAACGUCGAAUCGGCCACUGAUACUGUUGGGCUUGAGCACUGUAGAGGCUAAUGGAAUUCCGGGUGUAGCGGUGGAAUGCGUAGAGAUCCGGAGGAACACCGGUGGUGUAAACGGCUUCUGGACCAUAACUGACGCUGAGGCACGAAAGCAUGGGGAGCGAACAGG